AACGAACGCUGGCGGCAUGCCUAACACAUGCAAGUCGAACGAGACCUUCGGGUCUAGUGGCGCACGGGUGCGUAACGCGUGGGAACCUGCCCUUAGGUUCGGAAUAACUCCCCGAAAGGGGUGCUAAUACCGGAUCAUGUCUUCGGACCAAAGAUUUAUCGCCUUUGGAUGGGCCCGCGUUGGAUUAGCUAGUUGGUAGGGUAAAAGCCUACCAAGGCGACGAUCCAUAGCUGGGCUGAGAGGAUGAUCAGCCACACUGGGACUGAGACACGGCCCAGACUCCUACGGGAGGCAGCAGUGGGGAAUAUUGGACAAUGGGCGAAAGCCUGAUCCAGCAAUGCCGCGUGAGUGAUGAAGGCCUUAGGGUUGUAAAGCUCUUUUACCCGGGAUGAUAAUGACAGUACCGGGAGAAUAAGCUCCGGCUAACUCCGUG
rnacentral:rRNA from 1 species